CUUUAUGGCAGCUGUGCGUGGGAGAUCUUCGGGUCUGCCGGGUUUUCCUAAAUGUUACCGGUUCGCCAACCCGCGCACAGUGGCCACCUAU
rnacentral:antisense_RNA from 1 species